GCCGGCAGCUAGCUCUCUGCAACUCUCACAUGGUCGCCCACUGAAGCUAAGCAGGGCUGCGCCCGGUCAGUACCUGGAUGGAAGAGCACAUGGGAAGUCUUGUGGUCCAUCCCAGUU
rnacentral:rRNA from 1 species